CAAUAGCGUAUAUUUAAGUUGCUGCAGUUAAAAAGCUCGUAGUUGGAUUUCGGGUGGGAAUGGCCGGUCCGCCGUUUCGGUGUGCACUUGCUACGCCCACCUUGCUGCCGGGGACGUGCUCUUGAGUUCACGCUCGGGACACGGAGUCGGCGAGGUUACUUUGAGUAAAUUAGAGUGUUCAAAGCAGGCCUACGCUCUGAAUACAUUAGCAUGGAAUAACACGAUAGGACUCUGGCCUAUCUUGUUGGUCUGUAGGACCGGAGUAAUGAUUAAGAGGGACAGUCGGGGGCAUUCGUAUUUCAUUGUCAGAGGUGAAAUUCUUGGAUUUAUGAAAGACGAACGACUGCGAAAGCAUUUGCCAAGGAUGUUUUCAUUAA
rnacentral:rRNA from 1 species